rnacentral:rRNA from 1 species
GGCGGAUCUCUGGGCCGAUACUGACGCUGAGGAGCGAAAGCGUGGGGAGCGAACAGGAUUAGAUACCCUGGUAGUCCACGCCGUAAACGGUGGGCACUAGGUGUGGGCAACAUUCCACGUUGUCCGUGCCGCAGCUAACGCAUUAAGUGCCCCGCCUGGGGAGUACGGCCGCAAGGCUAAAACUCGAAGGAAUUGACGGGGGCCCGCACAAGCGGCGGAGCAUGUGGCUUAAUUCGACGCAACGCGAAGAACCUUACCAAGGCUUGACAUACACCGGAAACGUCUGGAGACAGGCGCCCCCUUGUGGUCGGUGUACAGGUGGUGCAUGGCUGUCGUCAGCUCGUGUCGUGAGAUGUUGGGUUAAGUCCCGCAACGAGCGCAACCCUUGUCCCGUGUUGCCAGCAGGCCC